UUAAUUACUGGCGGCGGCUUACACAUGCAGUCGAACGGUAGCAGGAGAAAGCUUGCUUUCUUGCUGACGAGUGGCGGACGGGUGAGUAAUGCUUGGGAAUCUGGCUUAUGGAGGGGGAUAACUACUGGAAACGGUAGCUAAUACCGCGUAAUAUCUUUGGAUUAAAGGGUGGGAUCUUUGGACCACUUGCCAUAAGAUGAGCCCAAGUGGGAUUAGGUAGUUGGUGGGGUAAAGGCCUACCAAGCCGACGAUCUCUAGCUGGUCUGAGAGGAUGGCCAGCCACACUGGAACUGAGACACGGUCCAGACUCCUACGGGAGGCAGCAGUGGGGAAUAUUGCACAAUGGGGGGAACCCUGAUGCAGCCAUGUCGCGUGAAUGAAGAAGGCCUUCGGGUUGUAAAGUUCUUUCGGUGAUGAGGAAGGCAGAUAAGUUAAUAGCUUGUUUGAUUGACGUUAGUCACAGAAGAAGCACCGGCUAACUCCGUGCCAGCAGCCGCGGUAAU
rnacentral:rRNA from 1 species